rnacentral:other from 1 species
AAAUUCCUGAAGUGUACGAAAACUUCUACUAUUUUGAACCUACAUUACGAGAAACGGAACUCCUAUAUUUAUAUAGUAAUAUCAAGCCUCCUUGUUAGUGGAAGAUAGAUCUAUAUGUGCGGAAAUCCACCUAGCCAAAGCUAGGGCGUCAAAAUGUAGAAAACGGCACCUUGGGAGCUUU